AAAUUAUGGAACAUCGAAAUAUUUUUCUAUAAUUUUAGUAAAAUUUAAUGUACUUUAUUUUAUUCCACGACCACCAUGAUUUUAAAAUAAAUUCAAAGUAGAAUUUCUGUUUGUAUACUUUGUUAAACCUAUAAUUUGUUUACUUUUUCUUAAAACGAAUCUUUAUAAAGUUAUUAUAUUAUAUAGGCAGUGUUGUAACAGAUACAAUUUUUAAAAUAACAAAAUAUAGAUAUAGUUAUCUAAAGAAAACUGUAAGAGUAGUACUAAAUACAGAUACAGAUAUACAUUUCUUAUAAAUAACUAAAUAUAGAUUGUUAUUUAUAGAAAUUACUUUAAAAAUAACUCUAGAUACUAUGCAGAUAUUAGUUAGAUAAAAUAUAAAAUCAAGCGUAACUAAUUACAAUUUCUGAAUUAGGAAAUUAACUCUAAUUACAUACGCAAAUACAUAAAAAGGAUCUGGAUAAAGUAACUAUAUUCAUGUAGUUAGAUACCUUACAACACUGUAUAUAGGGAGGAUUACCCAAUCCUCUGUCCGUAUUAAAGCGAAAGUCCGUAUUAUAGGGAUCACGUGUUGUACGAGAUUUUCCUAAUUCUCUAACCGUAAAAAUAUGAUGUUGCUAAAAUAUCUUUAAAAGGUUAGCUCUGUAUGUGUGCGCGCGCGCGCGCGCGCGCGUGUGUGUGUGUGUGUGUGUGUGUGUGUGUGUAAAGGAAAAAAUACAGAUGUUAAAAAUAAUUGUUAGACCAUCGAAAUAAUUGUGUAGGAUGCUCAAGGAUGACAAGCAAAGCUGCAAAAAAUUUUGACAGUCUAGCAACCAAUUUAAGUGUCUUAUAUAACUCUUUAUCCCAACAAAAUUAUUUUCAGAUCUGCAUCUAGCUAAAUUUUCUUAAACUUCAGUAAAACUGUUCUUUCCAUGUGGUUAAAACGAAAUCAUGUUACAGGAAUCUCGUGUUAUACGGAGUUGCCUGUAUCUUUUUUACAUUUUAAAGUACUUUCUCUCGACGAAGCGCAGUAUAAUAAACGGCGGAAACAAAGCGCGUUCGUGAACGUUCGAAUCCAAAGACGUUCGCAGAUCAUCAUCUCGUUGAUGCGAUUCCGACCAUUCUUUAUUGCCUCAAUUAUUCGCGUUGAUUCUCCUUUGUUAAUGGUAGGUUCGAAUAAGACGGCCGUCAACGUCGAAGGAGUUGAGUAUGCGUUAUAUCGGGGCAUCCGCAUUAUAUCGCUAAAUGGCGUGCCAGCGGCGCGUUACAUGUGAACGGGGCGACGUAAAAGACGCCGCCGCGCCGGAUGGAAAAACGCACAGUGUGUCAUUAGACGUAGCAACUCCGCAUCUCGAGAGAAGAAGGGAGGGGAGAGAAUUAAAAAAUUAUGCCGCGUGGCGCCUAUAGAAUUGACGAUAUCUUGGAAGAUUUGGGGGCCGCAACGCGCGUAUCUCUCGAGGGAGGCGUAUACGUAACGUCGCGAAACAGAAGAGUUUAGUUAAUUAUAAUUAGCGCUGAGUGACGCGGUUGGUUGAAACCGGCCGCCUGCGCGGCAUUAGAAACGAGUCGGUGUAACUCGCGCGGACUUCACGCAAGACUCACGACUACGUCGCGUAAUCGCGCGAGCAGGAAGAAAUGAUAUUUCGAUCCGAGUGCGUGUGGGGGUGGCUUUUAAUUUUUUAUUUCUGAGACGAGCACAACACUCCGCGAACAUCGACAGUGCUGCGACAAGCGACAGUGUCCCACCGGGGCGUUAAAAAGGGGACUCGUAAAGAGGAAUCGUACGGCCAGGUUUUUAUUUACGUCACGUAAUUAUCGCCACGCCCGUAAUAAAAAUGCCCACUUUGAUGAUGGCUAAUAAAGUCCUCGGGUUUAUGUCGCGCGUCUCUCACUCACUUCUUUCUCUCUCUUUGCCCGACGCUACAUAAUAUAACCGGACAUUAGACUUAACACGCGCGCGGCUUCCAGGCCCGGACACAGAUCCGAGAGGCUACUUACAAGUCGUCGUCCGUCUCUCGUUGUGCGUUUAACCCUUCCGCAACGUCUUUUAUCGAUAAAUAAAACAUCUUUCUUCGUCAAACGAGAGUCCCCUUGCGAGUAACGAACAAAAUUCAGUCAAAGAGAAAGCACAAACGAAAAGCUAAGGAAGUGUCAAUAAUAAUGUUUAUCAAUAAUGUUCCAAAGAAUAUAUCAACAUUUCUCGAGUACGUUUUAAUUUUCUGUUUUACAGUUACGAAUAAAACUACGCGAUAUUAAUAGAGAUUUUCCAAAACGCAGUAACUUUUUUCUUAGAUAACAAAAUUUUUCCCCACAAAAUAAUAUAUGUAUACAUAUAUAUUUAAUCUACGUAUAAUCAGAUGUAUAAUGUGACAUUAAUUUUACAUUAUAUUACAACGUCUUGCAGCUCUAUAGAUAGAAUUUUUUUAUUUCAUUGAAUCACAUAAUAAAUAGUGCAUUUGUAUGCUUUUGAUUAUUAAUUUCAAUCUAAAAGAUCAAAAAUUAAAUAAUUUGAUGGUCAUCAAACAGAUUUUUAUAUAUAAACAUUAAUCUACUGAACUUGGUAUCUAAUAUAUAAUUUUUCAAAUAAUUACAAAAUUUUUAACGGCAGGUCCAAUUUGGCAAUGAUCUUUAAUGUCGCAAAAUGUUAUUGUUUUUACUUAUAUAAAAUAUAACUAAUAAGAGCUUCUGAUAUUUUUAAAUAACUUAAAAAUUAUCUUCAAUUAUCAAACUGAUUUGCUAUGUGAUAAGUUGUCCAAAAUAUCUUAUGUUAUUUGCUAAUAAUAUACAUAAAAAUACACAUAAAUAAAUAAUAUUAUUUCUUACGUAUCAUUUUCCAUUAAUAUAAUAUAGACGCGUUGUGUGUGUGUAUAUGUGUGUGUAGAAUUAUUACUAAUGAUAAAUUUUAAAAACAAAUUUUUAUAAAUUGAAUUUUAUUUAUAAAUAAAGCUAAUUUUUAAUAUUGAAAUAUAUUAGUUAAUCAUUAUCUUAAAUUUUAACGUUGAUCUCAAGUUUGUAAUUAGUGACUUUAAUUAAUAAAUACUAUAUUUAAAGCACAAGAAUACAUAUAAACAAAAAUAUUUAUAUUAGUCACUAUAUUCAAUUAGUUUCUAAAUCUUUUAACUUUAAAUUGAAAAUCAUCUAUUUGCAAAAUUCUUAAACAUUAAAUAAAUUACAAAUACACUUACAUAUACGUUUCUAUUAAUUAUAAAAUUUCCCUCUUUAUUGACAAAGAUGCUAAAACAUUUCUAUGGUCUCCCAAUUAAGUGUUGUCGAUUUUUCUAAAUAAUAUUACUUUCACACACAGCACACUACUCGAUUAAGCGAAUAUACGCAGUAUGCAAUUAAUGCUGGAAAUCUCGAUUCCCUUAGCGCCUGGAAACUCUCAAAAGGUAUGUCGUGCCACCGUUAAUAUUACCGUUGACGUUUACGACCAAAAUGGCCGGGCGAGGCAUUCGCAUCUCUCGGAUAUUUAAGUAAACGAUUCGCAUCGCUGCACUGGUUGGUACAUCUGCGAGAACAUGCGGGUGCCACGUUGUUAUGCAGCCGGUCUGUACGCGGCUGUCACGAAACACAAUGGGUGCACACUCUUUCCCGUCCUGGCUCCGUGGCUUAUGUUGCGUAACCGUAAACUAAUCUACGAGAGCUGUAACGCGAGCGAGUUAUCGCCGUCACCAGACUUAAAUUAUUACGGAGCUCGUAGCUUACCGUGUCGCAUGGUUCGUCUAUCAAAAUCAUCUUUACAAAGCGUAAAAAAAUAUGUGUUGUAUCAGAGACAGAACUCACGCGACACUUUGAUUCGCGGGACUGGUAGUGAGCAAACUUACAAAAAUUCAAUCGCGCCUGUAAUCACCUCAUCGCGCGACCAGUUUUGAAAGUGUAUGGGAGAAAGAGUUCCGCGAAACAUGCGCGCGUCGUAAAACGGCCGGGAGAGAUGGCCCGCGAUGUACGGAGAGCAAAGAGGAAAGGUGCAGUGACCUCCAAGUGCUGCAGCUUGUGCUCGAGUGAUGGCUUACCAACUCGUACCGUCGGCCAAGGCCAUUAAUACCAAUGUCUUUUGCGCGACUGAGGCGACGGAGGUGGCACGUGAAAGAGAAGAAGGAAGAACCGAGAGAAUCGCGCCUUGGGUUUAGGUGCCUUGCCGAUGAGAAUUGUCGGAAUUCGUAAUUAACCCACGCGAUUCGAACGGCGAAUUCCAAUAGGAAUCUAUACGAAGAAACUGAGAUCGCACACGAAAGACGCAUGAUCGGAAAACGAAAGAAUAUAUAUGCAAGGGACAGCGGAAAGUCCUUUUCGGCUAGAUUCCAUUUUAAAGAAAAUGUACUAUGAAUAUUUCUAAGAAAUAUAAAGAUUUUUUUAUUUGAUUGUAUGAUUAGUCAUAAGCUGGUUAAGGUGACGACGUGCUCGUUAACGAUAUACCUUGUCAACCUCAACCAGAUAUUCGCGUACGUAUUUAUAUCCACACGUUAUUAAUGAAUUUAUAUAACGAACGUAUCAUAUUGAACUUUUGCAGAACGAAUGCUGGGUUUGCAACGCUGAUCCUUUUUUUAUGAUGUAUCAUCGGAAAUAAAAAAUGUGCAAUAAUUAAAGGUAAACAGAAUGCGAAAGCAAACAGUAGCGGAGCGGAGCGGACUGCCUCGUUGACGAAGUAUAUGAACGCUAAGGGAAAAGAGAUCAAGGGAGAACGAAUGAGAGAGAGAGAGAGAGAGAAAGAAAGAGAGAGAGAGAGAGAGAUUGUCGAUCGUUAGGAUCGGUUAACCAAGGCUGCUUCACGGUUGGUGCAACGAGUACUUUUAUCGACGAACGUAAAGCAAACCGCCGAGUUCUUCCCCCGCGGCCGCAAGAAGUAAAAACGCGCCAAACACGGUCAUGCGGCGAGACAGCAGCGGUUCGGCGGAGAGUGCGGCGUGUCGAAAGGGACGGUAAAAAGCGAUGGAUAUGCGACCCUCGCAACAAAGAAAAAUUCUACGUGUACGCGUCACGAGGCAUCAAACGCAGCUACGCGAUUCGCAAUGACGUUUGGAUCGAUGCUAAGUAUAAGCGAAUCGCGAACUGUGCGCUCAGCAGUGAAACGCAAUGCUAAACGAGGAUUAUCGUAGCUAAAUACAUCCAUUGAGCUAUAUUAUUGUACUAGAGUAAGCCUAUAGAGUAAGCCCCAAACUGCAGUUCGAUGGAGAAAAAGACAAGGACAACAAAAAUUUGUCUUUCCUUUCUAUAGAUACUAUUGUAUAUUGUGAUGAGACCAGUAAAUUACCAAUCAACGAAUCUUUGAAAAAGACAGCAAUACUAUGUUUGCAUAAAUGUCCUUUAGAAUAUGAAAUAUCCUCCUUAAAGAUUCACUUCAAAUAUAUUAUUAAGCACAAUAUGAAUGUCUUACAUCUAUUUCUAUUAAUGUAAAUUUUAAUCUCAAUUUAUAAUCCUAAUUAAUAUUCGCAAUAUUUCCAGGGUCGGGAUAGUUUUUUCAAUCACGCAAUCAAUCUCUAAAUAGCAUGGAAUUGUUUUAAUAACAAAUGUUUCUCACUUUAGAUUUUUAUUUUAAAUCAUAUAACCUUAUCCCUCGGAUUUAUUUUGAUCCUCAAAAUAACAAAUUAUUUACGUUAUUUGAACAAAGAUGUAUUGUAAUAAUAAUUUAAAGUUUUGUCAGGUACACACACUGGACUUAAAUACCGGAAAGUUAAGAAAAUUUCGAAGCAAAUACAUAUUAAGAUUAACUUUUUAUUUCUUUCUAACUUUUAAAACUAGAAGAUAAAAAAUUUAAAUCAAAAUUAAAAUUAAUUUACAUUGAUAGAAAUGGUCACUUAAAGUACAGAUAUUAUAUUUUAAAAGUUAUUUUGCGAAUGCAAAAAUGUUCUUCGUAAUAUUCAAGAUUCAUCUAAAACUGUGACACAAUCGGCACUCGUAUAUCGAGUGACCACCUGUAUUCGGACAGUAGUCGGGUUUUCGCGAACAAGAGGAACAGCGAUCGCUCCGAGACGGUCUGCUCCGGGCGGCACGAUUUCCUUGGCCAGUCUAUCGUUUAUCUCGCUCCUUCCUCGGACUAACGGUGUGUGCGUGUCUUACAACCGUAAGGCAGCACACCGCGGCAGGCCAUCUCUAUUUAUCUCGGCAGCGGGAGAUAGCGGUGUUGCCGAUACCGGGUGCCUCUGCGCGCGAACGUACGCUCUCGGAAACGACCCGAGUCGAGCCGAGCGAUGCCGAGAUGGCCUGCGCGGCAACGUUGCACGCGCGGAACGCCUCUCCUUAGACUUUCCUCUCUGGCUCUUUCUUCCUCUCUCUCUUUCUCCCUUUUCUCACGCGCCACGCGUUCUCUCACUCUGUUAGAGAGCCGGGUGCCUCGACCGCGCGAUCUCACGCGCGCGUUACGCUCGUCAAGGUGUUAGUAGGUGUCGUUACCUACGAUUAACAGGCGAGCGAAAAGAAAUACAGUUGCCAGGCUGACGAAUCGCGCGACUCUCCGCACGGGAAACCCAGAGCCAUGGAACAUAUGGAGCUGAAGAGAGAUGAGGUUAGGCAAUGAAAAGCACUCCCAAGUGUCGGACAAAGGAUGACUGUUUAAAGAACCAGGCUUAUCUUUAUUAGAAAAUAGCAUUCGAAACACUAAAAGACUAAGACCUAAGAGAAAACCUUUAAUAUACAUUCCUAGACGCUCAAAUUAUUAAUUUUUCACACGUUUCAAUUACUUAAUUUUCUAAUUAAUAUUUAAAUAUUAAUAUACGUUUGUACGUAUAAAUACAAAUGGUUUAGAUGUUUCACGAAUACAUUCCUCACAGAGUUGCGUGCAUUCGCUCAAAAUAAUUCGGAGAAGAAAUAUUUCGCCCGAGCAAUUCGUCACACAAUCUUCGCUCGAAGAAGCGAUGGUGCUCGUCGGCGCCGUCCACUUGAAGCGACGCAUCGCGAUGAAGGUGGACGGGACUAUUUUUUUGGUAGGAAGGAUAGGAAUCUCUGUACGAGGGCAAGUGCAUCGCCAAUUUCGGCAGCGUGGCGCGUGCGUGAGACAGACGAGUGCAACCAACCGAUCCGUCUCCUCUCUGUCCCUCUCAUUCGCUCUGCCACACCGUCUCCCUCAUUCUCCUCCUCAGUGUCCCCGGCUGUGCGCACAUGUGUGCAGGGCAUGAGGUCGCUUUCCUCGCCGUUCGGUGUGAGGUUCUGGCACGACCCCCCCUCCCCCGCGCGUGGCAUCGCGCGAUGUUGCCGCUACUGCCAUGUCGCUCGGGCGGCGAUGCCGGCGCCGGUAUGCGUAUAGUGAAACUGGUGGGGCGCAACGUUGCCAUAUCGACCGUGCCCUCGUCAUCGGGAAACGACGAGCGGACGACGAACGAACGAACGUACGAACGGACGGACAAACGGACGAAUAGACGAACGAAUGAACAAACGAACGAACGAAUAAACGAAAGGACGAACGGGGGCACGAAUGAAUGAACGAAUGAACAACCGAGCAAACAUUCUCUCUAUUCCCCACUACUAUUUUCUCAGCAUCAUUCCUUUCCUUUGUCUCUCCUGAGCGCUCGCAUAUUCUUUCUCCUCAUGUCCCUUUUUCUCUCUCUCUCUCUCUCUCUCUCUCUCUCUCUCGUUCUUUAUUUCCAAAUUUUUAAAGAGAUUGCUCCAUUUCCAUCUUCAUCGCGAAAUGGUGCACGUCAAACGCGAGGCGCCGCACGGUGAUACACCUGACUGACUCAGCAUUACCGACUUCGGAUCGCACGCAACGCAUGUGACGACCAGACCAAUGCCAGACUACGGAGCCGAUAUGACGCGCGCGUCUGACAGCGGCGGCGGAGGCAAUGAGGUGCGCCUCGACCACCACUAGCCAGCUAGUCUCGCCCUUGAGAAGGCUGGACCGCCUAGGAGUGAACGAUGUGUCACUUCGCCGGAGUUUCAAGAACCUCGCGGAACAGCUUAUCUACCACAAGAAUCUGGAGAUAGGCGUGACGUAGCGACCGAUAGCUGCCGCCGAUGCGUCAGAAACCAUCCGCGUUCGCGCGAGCGAGGCAUUCCCGACCGCGGCACGACCGGGCCAGUUUGCACGUCAUAUAGUUUAGCGACGGGCUUCGAGCCCGAUCACACUUGUUGAGAGGAAGCCCCUUCGCACCACCUCCACCAUCCACCACCAUCUCCUCCUCCUUUUCCACCUCCUCUGCUGCCUAUUCUCUGCUAUUCUCUUUCCCCCCUUGCGUCCUCUUUCUCCGUUUUCCCUGCCCCCUCUCCCUCCUCCUAUUCCUCCGCGCUUCCUCUUUCGCCCUUUCUCUUUACCAUUGCCUCAUGAUCUAUCUCGCUCGCCUAGUAUGGUAUCUCCACGAACGACCUUGACCUCACGUCGCAUCCACGUUGUCCUAAUGUUUUUAUCUAGGCGUCUGAUAUCGAUAAGAACGAUUCGCACCAUCAGACAAAUCGAAUAUCCAGAAUGGUACUUAAGUAUUUUAAAAUAUCUUAGAUAAUUCCUUAUAUUAAUUCAAGAUAAAAACUCUAUAUAAUCAUAUGUCAAAAACGGCUUUGUUUCAAGGGUAUAAGGUGUUGAAGUUGUAGCAAAAAUUUCCGAACCUAAAAGACCCUUUUUGUACUGAUUUAUCUCAUUUACCAUAUAAACAAAUAUCAAACUUAAAAAAAGUAAGUGGCAUACCAAUUCUCACGUAACAAAAGUAUCCAUUUAUCCUUAAGUUUGUUACCGAUUGAACAAAUAAAUGAUAGCCCACCAAAAAUGAAUCUUUAUCUCUUUAAAACAUAUACAAAGUUUUAUCAAAGUAGCACAACACAAUAAUGAGUAAUGUUCAAAAUUUUUCCUCCAAGCUUACUCUGUAUCUCUGAAAUUAAGUAUUUCCGAACAUAUAUAGUCGCAUAUGUUUUUAUCUUGAAUUAACAUGAAGAAUUUACCCUUUAAAAUCUUGGGAUAUUUACCCUGUAUACAUAUAUGUAUAUACACAUAUAGUAACUAAUAAUUCAUAGAUAUGCUUCUAUACUGUAUUGUAUCAUAAUCCUAUCGGUCGGAAUCGCAUUCUAAUGCUAUCAGACAAUACUAUCGAAAUUCGAUAAUCGAUUCCGAUUUAAGGAACAUUGGAAGUCAAUUACACUUUAAAUGUUAAGAUUAUUACGUUCUCUUAAUGAAGAGAUCGCAUAAUAGUAUAUAGGAAAAUAGAAAGAACUAUAAAGAGCUAAUUAAAAUAUUCAUAGAACGAUAUGAUCAAAGUAAUUAUGAGAAUAAUGAAGAAGUUGUCCAAUUGUGCCAGAAAUGAAAACGAAGGAUUCUGAAUUCAAAUCUCAGUUAAUUUUUUCUUAUUUCUACAAGUACAUAAAUGUUACAAUUAUCGAACGGUUGGUAACCGGAGGAAGUUAUUAACCUCCGAUAUCCAUGUGUAUCGUUGAGGCUUCCAAGUUCCUCCACCCCCUCUCCAGGGGUCUCGUCAUCAUCCCUCCUCCCAUUGUACCGCCGUUCUUCGAUCAUUGACGCCACUACGUUCUUUCUCCGGAGAGGAGCUCGCGCCGAAGGUCGAAGAGAGCGGACGCGAGAAGAAAGAAAGGAAGCGCGUGAAAUCUCGGCACGCGAGUUAUGUCAUCGCGGAUGGCUAACAUUGUACUAAAUAAUGCGUUCACGUGAGAUGAAAGACAUCAGAGAGACGCGUCGUCGCGUCUCUGGAAGACGAACCCGAUGAUGAUUUAAACGCUACCGUGGUAAAUCAGUUUGGAGCGAAUUUACAAGACUGUUUACAAGACUGUUUAAAUCUAGGGACACAUUUAUCAAUUCCCACCCGAGAGAAAGAAAAUGAGAGAAGAGGGAGAGAGAGAGAAAGAGAGAGGGGAGAGCUGAUUUUUAAUCUUUUCCUUGUAGAGUUUUGAUAAGAUCACCUAAUGGUUUAGACAUGAAAAAAAAUUCGUAGUUGGAUAAAUCAGAAAUAUAAACCAGACCGUUUGGUAAAAAAUGAACGAUCCAAACUUUGAAUUAAAUUAAUUUAACAAAUUUGGUAACGUGUUUCUGGUAAAGACAAGCAGCUAAGUUUGCUUUCAUAUAUUCUGUAGGUAACCAAAUUGAUUGUAUUCUGGUGAAAACACUUCAUUGUAAUCUAAUAGUAAUCUUAAUUAUAGAAUAGAAUUUUAUUCAGCAUAUACAUUGCCAAGAAAAAACUUGGUUUACAAUGUUUACUUAACCAGACUUCAUCCAUAUCUUAUCUAUUUACCAAGUUUAACAUACUUGAGUUCUUAUGUUCCUAAAUCCUAUCGCUUAUUCCUAUUUCACUUAAUCGUUUCCUUUUUACUAUCUUUUACAUUUGCUUUUAUAUAAUUAUCUACAUUUAACUUCUCCAUUUUACAUUUAACCUUUACCCAUAUAUUUACAUUUACAUUUGUACAUUUUUUACAUUUUACAUUUUAAUUUACUUUAUACCUCCGAGUUAUCACAGCUCAACACGUAUCGAUAUGACUACAUUUCAAAUCUAUUUCUUUACCUAUGAUAAUCUUAAUUAUAAUAACCAUCAAAAAUUUUGUUAAUCUUUACCAAUUGUACAUUUCAUGUUCUUUCAACCAUGCUAUGUAUAAUAGUUAAAAUUAAUUAGACACUUAGACAGAUAUUAUAACUAGAACAGCAAUAAUCAAACUUCAACUGUUGUUACAUUUAAAUGUUCUGGUUGGUUAUCAGAAUAUUUCACUUAACUAAAAUUUCUAUUUAGUCUAAUCAAAUUUUGUUGAACUAAACAUAUCUUGUUAAAUCAACCGUGGUUGUUCUUUCCGUAUAUGAUUCUGGAGUGUGGCUCUUGCGCGGUAUCGCGAUGCGCCGCGUUGAAAGAACCGUGUGCAGCAGAGAACAAACUAAAAGCUAAACAACGGCCGCGUAAAGAUUGGAUGGAUGAACCAGCUCGUCGGUGACAAAAACAGAAACACGAGCGAGUGAUAAUCACUACACACCACGCGUGGUCGCUUAUCGCCGCGUGGUGCGGUGAAACCGCACCACACACCACCUUCGCCGUUACGAGAGUCAAGACCGAUAAUCAAUCGGUCGUAAACAUCGCGGCGAAAUCGCGCAAGUAUCGUUCGCUCUCUCGUUCGCCGCGACCGCACACCCGUAAAGAAAGGGACACGACAAUGUGUUCGUGGCGGCGCGACGUGUCGUCCGGAAAAUUAAUGCGACGGGGAACGCAAAAGCGAGAAAGUUCACGAAGACAGAUUACAAUCCGCAUUAUCGUGGAGAAAUAGCCGCGAAAUCGAAUCACGAAUUCCGUUUUCUCAGCGACGUUGCGUUACAUUUCUCCCCCCCCCCCUCUCUUUCCGCGUUCGGGAUAAAUUUAGAUACAAUCGUUGGAGAAAGAAAAAAAAAUCGAAAAGCAAGACACAAAAAAACGUUAGUAGAUACAACAAACACAGUCGAAUAUAACAUUUGAGGAAUCAGGGGCGAAAUAUUUGUGAUGCUUAGAAAAUUUUUUCCACGUGUUAUUAUUUUUCUAAAAUGAAAGCUAAUGUUCGACUUUCGUUCCGUAAUACUGUAUUUCAUAAUCUUUCCUUUUCUCUUUUUUUCUUCAUUUCGCUCCGACAGAACGCGAACACGAAGGGGGGCUAUAUUCUAUACCUCCAGAUACCACGAUUUGUCGUUGCGUUUAAACGCGUCGCGCGAUAGGUGAAAGCAAACGUUUUAAUCCCCGGCGAGAGGACGGGCGAUUAUUACUGAAAGGAAUUAAAGUACCGCUGUACAACAGCGGAGCUCUCCCCGAGCGGGAAUCUGGGCCACGCUAUUAGGUGUCCCCGCUAUCUGUUCCGAUGCCGAUGCCAAAUUCUCGUAAGUUAUAGUUAGUCGUACUAAUAAUGGUACUAUCGCCGAGGAGAGCGUAAGAGAUGAGCCGAGGAGAUCGGCGGGAUUUCAGAAAUCGCGAGCGUACGCGCUCGCAUACGCUUGCGUAACACGCCAAUGCCGUAAAAAUACUCGUUGCGCUCUCGAACAUUAUUCGCGAACAAUCUGCGAAUACGAGAUCCAUCGAUGAGUUUGCGACGAAAGUUGAGAACAAAAUCUUUUUUUUUUUUUCUAAGGAAAAUAACUUCAGUAAUAUUACAUUGAGAAAAAAGUUGUUAAUUUGAUUAAAUUUUUUAAUUCAAAUAUCUCUACAAGGUGUAAAUGAAUAAGUGUCAAAUAUUCUAGGAAUAUAGUCCCAUUCGACGAAAAAAGUUGAUCUAAACAUAGAUACGGAAACACUAGUUUUUGAGAUGGAGAUAGAAAGAAUGUGUGAAACAGUGGAUGAUCUUAAAAACGCAAAAAAAAACAA
rnacentral:lncRNA from 1 species